GUCAUCAUGACCUGUACUCCAUCAGAGGAGGGUCUCCCUACCAUCAUCAUACCUCUCCAGUGUCUGAGAUUCCUCUGAGCACAGCGAACUGAAGUCUUGUCACCUGCUGACAGCGAGGCCUCCUGACUGUCCAAGACUAACUGUCUGAGGUGAAGUUCCUCCAGCAGCUCUUUGGAUGUUGGGUAUAGAUGGUCAGGUGGUUUUGCCUCCACAUCCCCACUUGCAGCGUGACUUGCAGCUUUCUCCUCAAGCUUCUACAUCUUCAGCCUGGGGUAUCAGGAGCAAGCUCUGAUCACGCUGGAGUUGAACAAGACCUUUAGUGUGAAUCAGCCCCACCUGUGUCAGGCACCAAGACAUCAGACCUCAUCAGCCAAAAAAGGAGGAAGGUCCAUGAGAGGGGGAAACAUCAGUCAAACCUCAGCUAUCCUGUCUUAAGACUAUGAAUGGACUCUAAGGACUGUGCGUGAGUCGUAUCCAAAUAAGUGGACUCUUGUG